ACAUUGUUGCUACUUAGCAAAUACAUGACUUGUUGUAAUCGAAUAAUAAGAGGGUUAGGUAAUGUACCGUAUCAGUGAAAAGACUUACUUGUAAAACUGUGAAAAUAAGCUUUGUAAAUUAUAAGCUUGAUAAAGCUAAGCUACAUUUCAGGAGCUGAAUUGCAUUUGAAGCCCAGAACAAAAAUAAAGCAAAAAAGUGGGGGGGGGGGGUUGGACACCUCCAGCAUGUUCACCAUCAGAUGAUUUUGAUUUGUUUGGUACACAUAUGACAUGCCUGCUGGAUCAGGCCAAUGGCCCAACUAGUCCAGAAUCCAGUUCUCACAGUGGCCAAUUAGAUGCCUAUGGGCAGCCUGUAAGCCCGUUUGGGGAGAUCAUUUUGGAGAGAUCUUUUUGUUUUUUUGCCACCUUGAACAAUUUGGUAUCAUUACCAAACUUUGUUACCUCACUUCUUACUUCCAACUCUAAAUCAUUUAUAAGCAAGUUAAAAAGCACAGAUUCCCAUAUUGAGCAGGGACAUGACUUUCUGCAUCCCGUCCACUGAGAGAACUGCCCAUUUGUUGCUACUGUCUACUAAGCUUAUUCAGGAGUCUUUGGUGGUGUACUUGGUCAGAAUCUUUUUGAAAGCUUAAUUACAAAAGUUAGCUGAAUCACCUUUAUCUAUAUGCUUGCUGCAACUUUCAAAUACAGUGGUACCUCGAUUUACAAACACAAUUGGUUCCGGAAGUCUGUACUUAAUCUGAAGCGUACUUAAAGUAAUGGAAAGUGGAUUAAUCCGUCCCAGACGGUCCGUGGAGUACUUAAACUGCAGCGUACUUAACCUGAAGCAAACUUUCCCAUUGAAAGUAAUGGAAAGUGGAUUAAUGGGUUCCAGACAGGUCCACGGAGUUAUAAAAGAAAACAGGCACAUACAAACAAGGAAAAUUGAAUGGAACCAAGACCCUGCUAUAGUACUUUACAGUUCUGGAACUCCCCCUCUCAAAAAGUAAAUAAAUAAAAGCAUAAGCCUGGAAAACUACCUCUCAUAAGAGCUUAUUACAUCUGUAGUAGAACUGUGCGUGCUUAUAAUUUAUGCAGCAUUAUUUAGGGUAUGGAGUGCAAUGUAUUUCUUACGUCAUUUGUUCACACAACUAUGUGAUUUCGGGGAGUGCGGGGGAAGGACUGCCAAAAUGAAGGAGUAGUUAUAGGAGGCCUCGAGAAUGAUUGCAGAGUAUGUGGUUCAUUUUCAAUGGGCUUAUUAUCUACCAAGUCUUAAACAGCUUGAACCUUGAGAAUUAUCCCGACUGAAAGUCACAAUGACAAAGGCUGGUGCACAGAGAGACAGAGAGCCUUGGUGGUUGCUGAACAAAUGUUAAGCUUUUUCUCACCAAACACUUAUAGUAGUUGGGGUUAGGGACAAGUGAAAUGUUAUAUUGCAAGCCACAUUUUAUCUUUUCUUUAUUUAUUCAAAAGCAUCUUCCGAGAUUUUAGUGAAAGUAUAGCAGGCAUGGGAGAGAGGCUCCUUAACUGUUUCUGUCUUCUUCAUCAAGCUGCUUUUCUCCCUGCAAAUGGAAGAUGUGUCAUUCUGAGCAGAAAAAUAGUCUGAAGGCAAGGGACAGUGCUAAAAACUUGCAGUCUUAUUUAAGAGAAUAAAAUGUUGGAGGAAAAAAUACAUACACGUGUCUGCAUGUAAUAUGCAGACUGGCCCUUAAGGUUUGAACACAGUUUUAUGGUAUUAUAUGUUAAGGAAGGAAAACCCUGUAGUGGCAUGAUUUUAAAUAAUUUCAAAUCAUUCUGCUGGCACUGUGUUAGCAAGUUAGUUGAAGUGAUUGCUCAAUCAACGAGCAGGGGAGGGGGAAACAUGCACAUGCAAAUCCAUCUGGAAAAUAGGUUCACCUGAGUGGGUCCAUUCCCUUUUUAAAUAAGGAGAAAUGAACAUGUGGGGGUGGAAGUCGACAGUAGAGAAAAGGUAAAGGCCCAAGGGCAUAACAUGCUGCACCCACUCCUGACUCAACAUCUGCACGGGCUGCUGCCAAAUCCUGGAGAUAAUGUAACAUUUGACAGAACGUAUUUGUGCUGUAAAGAGAAGUGGUGUAAUUUAAUUCUACUUUAGCUUGGACAGCUCUUAGCAUUAUUACACUGGGGUUCUACAUUGAGUCAAGUAAAAAAAAACCUAGCUUACACUAGUGUAGCUUACACUGAUGCAACUCAGAGCACACACAGAACAUACAAAAGCCAAUCAACCUAUUUCAGAUCCCUUCAGUCAGCUUUAAAGAGCACAGCUAAAACUACUACAAAAGAGCUUAAAGCAUUUAAUAAUGAAUAAUCUGAUUUGGUAGACAGAGUGCCUGAAGAACUAUGGAUGGAGGCUUGCAACAUUAUCAGGAGGCAGCAACGAAAACCAUCCUAAUGAAAAGGAAAUGCAAGAAAGCAAAGUGGCUGUCCAAUGAGGCCUUACAAAUAGCGGGGGAGAGAAGGCAAGCAAAAUGCGAGGGAGAUAGUGAAAGAUACAGGAAAGUGAAUGCGGAUUUCCAAAAAAACAGCAAGGAGAGACAAGAGGGCCUUCUUAAACGAGCAAUGCAAAGAAAGAGAGGAAAACAAUAGAAUGGGGAAAACCAGAGAUCUGUUCAAGAAAAUGGAUAUUCCAGCUGAACUAUUUAAAAUAUGAUGCUGUUAAGGUGCUACACUCAAUGUGCCAGCAAGUUUUGAAAACUCAGCAAUGGUCAGAGGAUUGGAGAAGAUCAGUCUACAUCCCAUUCCCAAAGAAGGGCAGUGCCAAAGAAUGCUCCAACUACCACACAAUUGCGCUCAUUUCACACGCUAGCCCUCGGGCAGCGUCACUGUAGAAAACAGGCUAUGCUUAGAAUUCUACAAGACAGUCCUAAGCAGUAUGUGGACUGAGAACUCCCAGAAGUGCAAGCUGGAUUUCGAAGGGGCAGAGGAACCAGAGACCAAAUUGCAAACAUGCACUGGAUUAUGGAGAAAGCUAGAGAGUUCCAGAAAAAAAAUCUAUUUCUGCUUCAUUGACUACACAAAAGCAUUUUACUGUGUCAACCACAGCAAACUAUGGCAGGUUCUUAAACAAAUGGGAGUUUUAUAUCCUCACAUUUAAGUACGCCUGAGUAGCUAAUAUAUGUAGAAAGCACUAUAUUAUUUUUGGAUGAUCCCAUUUCACUUAGAAAUUGAUAGGCAUUCACAACCACUGAAGGUCUCUAAUAGAAGGAAUUCUUUUUUAAAAAAUAAAAUUGAAAACCAAGGUGUUCGAAAUUGUUAAGACUGGUUCUACAAUGCAAUUUUGUUGCUCCUCACAAGAAUAUACACUGGUUUGAUAUACACUGGUUUGAUAUACACUGGUUUUAUUCAUCUUGAACAGCCAUCCCCAAACUUCGGCCCUCCAGAUGUUUUGGACUACAAUUCCCAUCUUCCCUGACCACUGGUCCUGUUAGCUAGGGAUCAUGGGAGUUGUAGGCCAAAACAUCUGGAGGGCCGCAGUUUGGGGAUGCCUGAUCUUGAAGCUACAGACACAGUAGGAAUAGCCCUUGCAUCUGCAUGCUCUUCCUCACUAAUUAGAAAUGAGGUUGAGGGUUCAUUAACAGUCAUUCUGAUACCUAUAUAUAUAUAUAUAUAUAUAUAUAUAUAUAUAUAUAUAUAUAUAUAUAAACUAAAAUAGAGAGAGGGGUAUUCACCAUUUACUGACAGUAAUAAGAAUUUAAAUAAAUAGAUUAGUAAGUUUGCUGAAGGUCUAAAAAUGCAUUUUAGCAGAUUAAGAUAUUUUACUUCAUUUAUCUGCAUCCAAUUCUUUGAAGUUUUUAGGGAAGUGCUUCAAAAGAGGUCAGUGACAUUUUCUGCUAGAAACUAAACCUCCUCUUAUUCUAACUUUGAGGGUUGGAAUAAAGUGCUUGUUUUAUUGGUGUGUGUGUGUGUGUGUGUGUGUGUGUGUGUGUGUGUGUGUGUGUGUUGUUUGUACAGUAAUUCACAUGCUGUCUACUUGCAAUGGCUUUUAAGUACACCUUGUUAUUUACAUUAUUUCAGAAUGCUUGAGAUUAGUUGGUGUAGCAAAAAAAUAAGGGGGGGAAACCAACGUUGACUUCUAUUGGCAGAGCUUGAGAUGCAAGAUGGAUCUGUCACUCUGCUCCUACUCAGUCUCACUUAGGAUUGUUCUGUCCAUCAUGUUGAUUAACUUUAGCCUCUAGUUCUACCAGACCAACACGAAACUCACACUCCUCCUUCCUAUCUUUUUGUGAAGCUGCCAUUUGGUCUCAGGUGCUGAAGUGGCUUCAGCUAGCCUUGCUGCUAGCCUCUCACAAACACAAAGGUAUUAUUGUCUGCUGAGAAGCAUCCUUAUCCAUGUUCAGUGCUUAACUUGAGGAUAACUUCAGUGCUUAACUGGGUAUCUGAAGCAUGCACACGAAAUCUCAUACCUAUGACAAACCUAGUUGGUCUCUAAGGUGCUACUGGAAGGAUUUUUUUAUUUUGUUUUGAGGAGAAGGUCAUUCAUGUAUUUUUUUUCAUCCUUUUUGCUAAUUAUUGCUCUGGAUAGCUAACCAUACAACUUUUUUCUUAGUCUAAGAACAUCAUUUCUGUUUCUCCUUACUCCACUGCAUUUCUCUGAAGUGUGUUUGGCAGUGGCUUCAGUUGCUAUCUCCAUGGAGGAGCCUAGAAUACAAAAGCACUCAAAUACUAGUUUAUCACUCAGCUUAAUCUCCUCUCCAUAAAAGUUACUUGAGAGGGGAAAGGGAAAAUAUCAUAAAUAUCAUUUGAACAAUGGCUCUUGACUACUGCUGAUGUUGUAGUAUAAAUAGUUAUGUAGCUGUAGUUUCUCUAACUCUGAGCCACAUGGAAAAAUUAAAUUGCAUCUGUGGUUGGAGUGCACUGAGGAAAAAAUACUUUAAAAACCGUACAGCACUCUCCAAGGAUUUUGCAGCAUGAACUAUAUAUAUAUUAAAAGCAUUUUUCGUCUCAUGACAUAAAAAACAUUCACGUUGUCAAAACAAAAAGCUUUCUAGUCUGUAAUGACAAUGUAGGAGCCCAUUUUAUAGUAAAUUUUAUAUUCUGACUGGAACAGUAGACUUGAGCCAUCUGCUGAAAAGGGGUACUAUUUCAGCAUGUUCUGUUUCAGAAUGUAUUUUUGCUGCCAUUUUGUACAUUAGAUCUCAAAGAUACUUUAAACACAUUUACCCUUCUUUUUGGAUUGAAUGCAGAUGUCCCAGUUCAGUGAGCAUAAAAAUAUUAUGCACUUGGAUCUGAUUGUAGAGCAGGAGAUACAGUAAGCCAAUGCUUAGGAAGCCUAGGUGUGUCAGCUUUCUUGCAUAACCAGCACAGCUGUCCAGCGUGCUAGAAAGCCAGCCUGGAUCCACUCAACAUCAACCGCACCCUUUCCUCAUUCAGCUCCUCCCCAGAGCCCUUAGGCAAGGAGAAGCCAAUCUGUAGUUUUCCAGUUGUUGGACUACAACUCCCAUCAUCAUUAACCAUUGCCAUGCGGCGGAUAGAAGUUACAGUCCAACAUCGGUUGCCCAUCCCUGCUGUUUUCUUACCUUGUCACUCUGUGUUGCAUGGGUGUGUGUGUGUGUGUGUGUGUGUGUGUAGUGCCUCAGUUAGGAUUCAGUAGAUGUGACACCACUUCCUCAUGCAUCUCUUCUCCCAGCCAGUCUUCUCUGAUUAGCUAAUGAAUCUGAAAGACCCUCCCACACACAGUUUUCCAACUCCUGCUGUACGUAAAGGUUGAACGGUUGAACAAAGAACAUCUUCAGCCCUAUCUUUCUGUGCUUGUUCAUAAUAGCAGAUACACAGGAUGAAACUUUUCAGCUAACCCAAUAAAUUCUUCCAGUAUAUUUUCUCAUGCAUCUGAUAAACCUUUCUCAGGCAUCACAAAUUCACUUGUCAGCCUGAAUUUGUGUUGCCCAUUCUACAAAUCUUAACAACAACAACAAAAAAACAACAUUUUAAAAAUCAAACAAAUUAGAGAACAGCAUAUAGGAUCAGUCACAGGUGACUCUAAUAAGGGCUAAUCCUUGCUGUCACUCAAUUUGUAUUUUUAUAGUUUUAAUUCCCCUGUAUCUGAGAGCUUUUCUAGUUGUUCUGCAGCUGUGCCUUAUGAAAACCCAACUUUCCCACUGAAUUGGAUCUUCUUAGAUGUGUGAAAGAUUUGAAAAGAGCCAUUUUAAAACAGUAUACUCUCUAGUCAAUAUAGGUUUUACUGAUGCUAAAUGUAAAGAUCAAUUUGUCAGUUGUGAACUACGAACAUUUAAACUUGUAUUUUUGUCUCCAUGCCACUAUUAAACAGAACAAGUAUAUUUAAAUCCAGCCAAUUUCUUGUCAUCUUAUGAAUAUAUAUUUAUAUUUAUAUAUUUAUUACAGGUAGGUAGCCAUGUUGGUCUGCCGUCAAAACAAAAUAAAAAAAUUCCUUCCAGUAGCACCUUAGAGACCAACUAAGUUUGUCUCUAAGUUGCUACUGGAAGGAAUUUUUCUAUUUUAUUUUUAUUUUAUAUAUUUAUUAGAAAUCCCCCUGUGAAAUUUUCUCCCAAGUAUGUGUCCAUAGGAGUGCAGUCAUAGAUCCCAGUGUAAAUAAAAUAGUCAAAUUUAACUCCUUUUUUAAUCAGUGGAACAUAAGCUAGCCCCAUUGAUUUCAAUGGGGUCCAGCAGGAGUUAACUUUUUAUUUAAUACGAUUUGUACACUAAUUAGCAAAACCUCUAAGUGGUUUACAUAAACAUCUUUAUCUCCUUUUCUUUAAUCUUCACUUGCUUUUUCUUUUGAGCCCCAUAUCUUAAUGGGAUGAUAAUUUUUUUUGCCUGUCAUUGACAACAGAUGGAUUUUUAAAAAGUAUUAUGAAACGUAAGGAGAGAAUUGCAUACAAUAUUUGGGUUAGUAAUGGAUUGCCAUCUUGAAUCCAUUUGCUGUUACAAUCCUUUUUUUCUUUUUGAUGAAAAGCUGACCUUUCAAUAUAUUUUUUUAAAAAAGCAACCACUUGUAUGUUGGUGUCUGAUAAGUUAUUUGGCAUAUUUGGCAUUCUCCCAAAUUUUGUUUAAGAUUCCUUUUGUUUGCCACAUGGAAUAUAUAGCAGUUAAUAGAAGCUCAGUUUCCAGAGCAUGUAGGUCACCAGUAUUUUUUUCAGUGUUAUGUCCAAAUCAGUCUCUUACACAGAGAUGAAAGAACUGUAUGCAGCCACAACUUUGUUUGGCCAAGACCUGUUCAGUUUAAAAGCAGUUGCUUCACCUGAGAUUGAGCUAUGUGUACUGCUUAUGACAUUCCCAUUUCUUGAUCCAAGCCAAGCGUUGAGAAUGCUCUGACCUAAGCAGAGGUCCACCCCAGAACUUAUUGUAGGCAGGCAGAGGUGGGGGGAAUUCUAGAAGGAAGGAACAUAAGUCUGCAUGUAGCUAUAAGAGGGAAGGAACUCUGAAGUUAGCCUGUUCAUCUACCAAGCAUAGGCUGAGCCAAAAUUCUUAUUUUUAAGGGUCUCAGACUCUGAACCCAGCAUAACCUACCUUCAUAGAUUUUUUAGUUUGAAUACAGUAAUUACUGUUCUUAUCUCUAGUUAAUUUAUGUUAUCUUUAAGGCUUUUGCUAGCAAGUUUGCUUACUGGGGUCAUGUUUUCAUGUUGAAAACUGCUUGCGACAUUUCAAGUCUUUCGAAUGAAGCAGAUUAAAUGAUAUUGCAACUUCUGAAAAUGUAGUAUAAAUAACGGAAACAGCUACAUUUUUGUGGAAAUAAUUACACUGAUAUGUCUCAUAAGCCCUUCCAUUAGAAUCAUAGCUGCCAAGUUUUCCCUUUUCUCGCGAGGAAGCCUAUUCAGCAUAAGGAAAUUUCCCUUAAAAAAGGGAGAACUUGGCAGCUAUGAUUAGAAUAACCCCUUUCACUCAGAAGACACUGAACACAGAAGCUUUAACAGUUUCACACCAGACGUUCCACGAGACAUUUUAAUUAACAAACAUCUUAUUUACAACUGCUGACUAUGUUUGCAUUUAAUUUACAAGAGCUGAUUGAUAUGCAUGUCUGUUCACUAGAGAUACACACUCAGUUACUUCUUAUACCAUCCGUAAUUUAACUUUUCAUCACGCUUUCUAAUACUGAACUAGGUUUUCCUGAAGCGUUAGCUUCAUAGCCAAAACAGGGGAAACAAGUUAGCUAUGGGGAAAACCCUGUGUGUGUGUGUACAUCUUAUUGGUGCUCGUGACAGAACCUCAAGCAUAGCCACACCCUUCUCAGGACCAGCUCUGUCUCGAAAUCUCCCCAUGCUCUUCCGGCUUGGAAAAAGCCAGUGCUUCUUUUUUCAGGGGGUCCUUAAGGGUACGCAGGACUGACACCUUUUUUGUUUUUUGGUUAAAGAGUAUGGCACUUAACUGUAACCACUUCAUGGUGAGUACCAUCACCAUGGUACUCAUUUUUCUAGAAAUGUCCCUCAAUAGCACCAAGCUUAAAGGUGAGGUAAAGUCAGCUCCUCCAGCAGCUCUCAAACUCCAAGAACUUUUCAGAUCAUGAAUCUAUUCCCCUUGCCAUGCUGACAGAAGAUGGGCAGGCCAGGGAGCACCAAUACUAUUGGCUCCCGGUAGGCCUGAGAGGACUCUGGCACUUGGCAUGUUAUAUAAUGUGUUUGCUUUGGGUGACUUGGCAGAAAGGCAGUAUAGAAACUCCAGAAAUAAAUGAAUACAUAAAAUCAUAUUUUUAUAGAAGGAAAAUAAGUUCCUAUAGGGAAGGCUCCAACCUAUAAGAAAAUAAUAUCCCUGCUGGAGGAGGCCAAAGACCCAUGCAGCCCCGCGUCCUGACCUCACAAGCAAAACAUGAGCACAGCAGCAUGCUCCCCAAGGCAACACCCCCCCCAAACCCCAGAAAAUAGAUGCCUAUGCUUCUUUUAUCUCUUUACUAAUACAUCUGCUACAAACAUGAUUCAAAAUCCUCUGCAACAUUUGGUUGCAGGCCCCUACUUGUAUUAGUCGAAACCUAAAUACCAGGCUGACAAAUGCAAUGUAAAAUUUAAAGGGGAAAGUUUCAAAGGGCAAUUGUAGUGGGAGACAGGAAUUCAUUAACAAGUUUGAUUGCAUUUCCUAUAGUUUAUUUAAGAACUGUGUGUUAAAGAGUAAUUUUCCUUCCAUUUGGUUGUGUAUUGUAUUAAGAUGUGUUUAGUUCUCCAGCAGUAAAGAUGUUGUUGCUUUCUCUUCAUCUUUGGUGCUCACCUUGUUAAAUGCAAUGUAUCCUUGGGCUUGGCUGAUUAAAUAAAAUAUACUGAUCUUUCUUUCUGCUGAGCAAGCAUUUCUGGACCAAUGCCUUAAUCCAGCUGUUGUGGUUGUGCACAUAAAGCCUCCCAAGAAAAGCCAUUAGCACUCCCAGAAACUAUUUGGAAGAAGUAAGGGUAUUGGAUUUUAUCUCUAUCCAUGCCCUUUUUCUUGCAAAACACCUGAUUCGUGUGAUUACCCAAAGCACCCAUAGUAGCUUUUUACAUAUUACUAUUAUUUAUUUAUUUAUUCAUUUAUUUAUUUACUGUACUUUAUUAAAUCAUCUUCCACACAAGUCUCAAGUCUAUUGAAUCAUCUUCCACAUAAGUCUCAAGCCAAUUUACAGAAAAACAACUAGAAGUUGCUUUGAAAACAAUAAAGAUGGGUUUAUAAACAAUAUAAAAUAAACACCUAAGGCAAAUACAUUUUAAGCUAACUGAAAAAGGUUGUUGAAACAAAUAAGUUUUCAGUUGUUUUGGGAAAGUACAACUAUAAUCCCAACAGAGAGUAUGUUCCAAAAAAACAGGGCCUGCCACACUGGAAGUCUCUAAAAUGCAACUGAGCAUGCUCAAAAAUGCAAGGUAGCAUGGUCAGCUGCAGCAAUGGAAGCAUGUGCCCUUUUACUGCCCACAGUUGAAAUCAUAUUUCACAGUGCUAGAAUACAAGGGAGAUCUAAAUAGUGAACAAUUAAUCAGACACUGUGAAUGUGUGAUUUAACACCCAAAAGAGUUAUAAAGCCUGUGUCUAGCAAUGGCACAUUUUUGUAUGUUUGGAGAAAACUACAUUGGAACUGAAGAUACCCAGAGAUCCAAAGCAAGAGAGCAAGAUCAGUUUCUCCCCCAGUAGUCAAUACCUUGACCCUGUCUAUAUUUGCUGUCACAAGAAACCUGAGCAGACGUUAUGGGGUCCCACCUCAUUGAUAAAAUGUAGGUGCUUAUAAUGUGGCAAAAAUAUAAAAGGAAACUCCCAAACUAAGGCCCUCUAAGAUGGCCAAAGGAAGGGUGAUAUGUGUCCUUGUAUUUCUACUUUUAUUUGGGAAAAAUAUUUAGGUAUAUCCUAGAUCUAAAAACAUUGCAUUCAAUUUAUUAGCAAUUCUGACCCCUACAUCAAAGACAGAUAACUAAAUGUUAUGCAUAUAGAUAUGGGAUUAUUUUUACUACAUUUUUGUCCUCUGUAUAUCAACAAUUACAACAAUUGCCACAGUAAGUUUGAAACCUCCCAGAAGUCAAUGAUUUGGACUCCAGUUUUGUAAUGCUAUUUGUGUUUCCUUAAAAAUGAAAUAAUUCUGUUUCUGUUUCCCAAUUUGUUUAUAUUUAGAAUUUUAAAGCAAUAUCUAACGCAAGUUGAAAUUAUUAUUAUUACAAAUGAAUUAUGCUGUCAAAUCAAGUAAAACCAGGUUCUAGCAUAUCCAUAAGUAUUGUCAUAUAUUUCAUUUAAUUAUAUAUUUGUUCAGCAAGAAGCGAACCUGAGUGUUUAUUUGGUACAUGUAAAGUAAUUGGGAUGUAAAGAUUAUUGUGAGUUUGUAAGUGGGAUGAGGUCAGUUCUAAAGCUUCCAUAAUUUAUUAUUUGGUGUAUGUAAAAGAAUUUGGGUGUAAAGGUUGUUGUGAGUUUGAAAGCAUGAUGAAAUCGGUUAUAAAGGUUCCAUUAUAAUAAGUGCAAGUUAUAAUUAUACUUGUAGAGGCACAAGGUGAGAGAGCAAUAUAAAAGAUCAGCUUGAUGAAAAGAAUUUAGUGAAGUGAGUGAAUGAUGGAAAGCUCUAUUAGUUUAUUUCAGCAUAGCUGGAAGCUUUAAAUUUAUUAAUUGUGUGUCACAGUUAUAUUAAGGUUUGUUUUGGUUUGAUUUCUAUCCAGAUCUGUUAUAAAGCAGUAUGGCUGGAGUAAAGCAGUACGCUCAGUUGGGAUCAGAGCGCAAAGAAGCUAUGCAUCAUUGCCACCAUUUGCUAUAAUCUGUUAUGUUACUGUUAGAAGGGAAUUAAAAUGUUUCUUUUAUAAUGGCAUAUGAGUACACAAAAGUUUCUAGCUUAUAAAGCAGUGAGUCAUUGAGAGGCGUUCCCCUGCCUCUUGCCGCUCCUGCAAUGGAGAAGGGCAUGAGGUUCUACAAGAAACAUUUUUCAAAGUUCCCUGCCCGCCUGGUGGCAAAGUUGGACAAGGGAAUGCCUCUCACUGACCCAGUGAGGGGAGGCCUUCCACAGAGCUUUGCUGCUGGUCCCUUUCUGCCGCUGGGAUGAGGGAGACCAGCGGAAAGCCUGGGCAGUGGAACGUUGUGUCUCCCUGCUGCUGAAGCCUCCCUUACCUGAAUUGCUUCUGUGGUGGUAGGGCAGUGGGGACACUCGUGGGAGUGUCACCUCCUCAAUUUCCACCACCUGAGGCAGUUGUCUCAUCCUGCAUCAUAGAUGGGCUGGGUCUGCUCUGAGAGAAGGAGGGGAAACCAGUCACACUUGCAGUCAGAAGUCCCAGCUGAGAUUCUUCCACCAAAACACAGCUCACCUGAUGGACAGUUGCAUAGCUGCUGGCAAUCCAUAUUUCCUCCCACACUCCAAUUCAAGUAGUUGAAAAUAAAAUGUGAUGUUAUUGUGUUAGUAUUUUUACACACACACACACACACACACACACACACACACACACACACACACACACACACCAUUUGUUGCUGUUUGCAUAGCAUUUCACACAAGGAGAUGUUGUUCAAUAGCGUUCACAUACCUCUCCACAAUACAUUGCCUGGGCUUGAGACCUAAGAGGUUUGCCUUUCAGAACAGAGUGACAAAGUCGUGCCCUCCAGUUGUUGUGGACUCCAGCCUCAGCCCAGAUGGCAAAUGGUAGAAGUGAUGGGAGUUGUAGCCCAAAAACAUACGGAGUUGGUCACCAUGGCUUAGAUCUAAAAAGAGAAAGUUGCUCAUACAACAGAUCACUCUCAUAUUCAACACCCCCUGCAAUCUCUUACACUCACAAAGCAACAUCACCACUCUGGUUGGUCAAGAGCAGGGUUCCCCAAACUAAGGCCCGUGGGCCGGAUGUGGCCUGUGAGGCUCUUUUAUGCGGCCCCCGGUGACCCUUGCUGCCCGCACUUAACAGCGCGGUGCGUUGCGGCUGCCCACUUCCGGGUGGCUGGAGCGUUGGAAACAGCUUGUGCGCAUGCACAAGCGUCAUUUCCGGCGCACUUCCGGGUUAGAAGAUCAUCGAAAAUACCUUGCAUGCAUGCGCAAGCGUCAUUUCCGGUGCACCUCCGGGUCGGAGGAGGCCCAUGUGAAUGUGCACAAGAUGUUUCCGGCGCUCCUCCAGCCCGGAAGUGCACCGAAAAUAGCACACUCCUGUGCGCUUCCCCCGCCCUCUGGCCCACCGCACAAUCGGUGCAGCGGGCACUGGCCCAAAGCCGGGUAAGUUUGGGGACCCCUGGUCAAGAGCCCCUCCUUGAUGUGUUAUCUUGUGGGAGGCUGCAGUGGGACAACGGAAUUGUCAAGAAUUGGGUGGCAGUGCACAUGGUGCUCCUGCUCACACAAGCUGCCUCUACCCAGUUGUUCAUUAUUCUCUCUCCCACUGACAUGACUCAUAUUAUAUGGGGAGACUUGGGGGGGGGGCAGAGAGGCUUCAGGUAGAAGGAAGGGGUAAGCAGCCCUCUCCUUGUGCAACCUUUCUUAGUGGAGAUGAUGUGCCCUCCAGUCUGUCAUAAGUUGAAAGCUGCCCUAUGCUACUGGUUGACUUUAUAUAAUAAAUAUAGUACCGUAAGUUAGUAAGAAAGCAAAUAAGUGCACAGUGCAAAGUUCUGCAGAGUUCCAUUGCACAAUGAUACCUCAUGUAACCUUUGCCAUUAAUUACAUUUCUGCAAGCUUCUUUAUUCAUGAUGCUUACAUUGUUUUAAUUAAUACUCUAAUGCAGGGGAGCCUAACCCCCAGUUUGAGGGCCUUAUCUCUUACCACCCCGACAGCAAUAUUUUUGGGUUGUAUAAAACACCACCAAUUCUGGUGGCAGUGACAAAAAAGAAAGAAAAGGGCUGAUAAAAUGCUAGGGUGAUUUGAGGCCAACACUCUGAUGGGGAUACAAAUGGUCACCAGAAUGAUAUUGAUGAGAGGAGAGGAGGUGGUAAUGAUGAAAAGGGAGAAGUGUAUAACUCCCUUCCACAGCUGAUCUGCACAAAUCGGCUGAGGAGAGCAGGCUGUGUGACUUUGUUUAUGUCUGUCUGCAAGUCUUCCUGUAUGUAUGUGUAUGCAAGAGUGUGGGGCAGCUACACCUUCGUGUGGCCACAUCCACCACUGGUCAAGUCCCUGGAGGCAAAUGGAAGCGUUGGCCAAGGGUGAAUCUUACCCUCAAGCCAAAACAGUCUAGCCAGUGUCAGUGCAGUACAUGCAAGUCUCAAUUAAUUUCAUUCUUGGGGUACCAGCUAUUUCUCUGAGAACCUUUUAUAACUGAUGCUAUAUUUUAGGCAUUUCUGCCCCCCCCCUUUUGCAUGCAGGGUAUUUGAUAGUGGUGAUGUCAAAUGUAUCAUUUGCAGUUUUUUAGAAAAAGCAGACUAAUACUUUUUCCACAUGGCUCUGUAGCUACGUAACUUAUUUUUUCAUCCUGAAAGAUGUGUUCCCAAAAAUGCUCAUUGUCUCAUGGGUGAUAACAGGGAGAUGGUGAUGAGUGAUUGAUUUUGUUUUUUACUCUGGUACAGCUGUUGGUUUGAUCACAUGCCAAGCACUAAAAACAAUUGUGAUUUAUCCGAUGGAGAGAGUAAGGAAAGAUAGCAUAGCUGUGUGCCACAGUUUUAAUAGAUUGGAAUCUGCACAAUUGAUCAGUUCAGCCAUUUUUGGGGGGGUGGGCAGGCGGGUAGGAAUAGGAGGUCAUGUGUAAGUGUCAUCUGGAAAAGGAAUACACAACCUGCAGCAUUCGUAACAAGAGGUAUGACUGUAUUAGUAUUACAUUAUUUUGAGUUUUGAGUAAACUACCCAAAGCUAGUUGUUAAUGAGUAUUCACUUAAUCUUUAAUCCUAACCCACUUCACUGGAAGUAAGCCCCAUUGAAUUCAGAAGAACUUACUUUUGAAUGGAUGUUUGGUUGUACAUUUUGUCUACUGUGUCUCUUAUUUAGCAAUGGCAAUUAAGUUUAGCAACUUAAUACUUAGAGAAAAAACUGUAUACAACAAAGCCAUGUAAUAGCUUUUGGCCAGUAUGAGCAGAAUAAUAAUAAUAAUAUCUUCAUAUAGAUAUUAAAAAGCAUGGGGGAGAGAACGGAACCCUGAGACACCCCACAAGUGAAAGCCCAGGGGUCUGAACACUCACCCCUCAACACCACUUUCUGGACACGGCCCAGGAGAAAGGAGUGGAACCACUAUAUAACAGUGCCCCCAGCUCCCAGCCCAUCUAGACGGUCCAGAAGGAUGUUAUGGUCAAUGGUGUCAAAGGCCGCUGAGAGAUCCAGCAGAACUAGGAAACAGCUCUCACCUUUGUUCCUAGCUCGCCGGAGAUCAUUGACCAGUUUCAGUCCCAUGGUGAGGCCUGAAUUCCGAUUGGAAGGGAUCCAAAUGGUCCACAUCCUCCAGGCAUGCUUGGAGUUGUUUAGCAACCACUCGCUCAAUCACCUUGCCCAAGAAUGGUAGAUUUGAGACUGGGCAAUAGUUGGCCAUAUUGGCCAUAUUGGCCGGGUCUAAAGAUAUUUUUUUAAGAAGCGGUUUAAUCACCAUCUCUUUCAGCGGGUCUGGAAGGCUCCUUUGCAGAGGGAAGCAUUCACCACCCCGCAGAGCCACCACCUACCCAGCCCUUCCCGGCUCGAUUUUAUUAGCCAGGAUGGGCAAGGAUCAAGGAGACAGGUGAUCGGUUUCACUCGUCCAAGCAGCCUGUCCUCAUCCUCGGAGGUAACAGAUUGGAAUUGAUCCCAUGUAACAUGACUAGACAGGAUUCUAGCACUCCCGCCUCAGCCCUGCUGCUCCCACAGUGGAGUCUACCUCCUUCCGAAUCUGAGCUACUUUAUCUGCAAAAAAAACUUUGCAAAAACAUUGCAGGAGAUCUUGGGGUCCCUACCAGGCCCCGGUGACAAAGGUAGUUCUGAUAGAUUAUGAACCACCUGAAAAUAUAUUUACUGAUCACAUAGAAUAAAGCUUUAGCUUAAAGUCAGGAUCCUUCCUUUCAUUUGCAGCUGUGCUUUGAUUACUACGACUUCUCGUCUCAAAUCAGCUAUCCUGUUCUGUUCAAUCACAUUUAAGCUCAUGUAUUUGUGCGUAUGUGUGUUAAAGUAUCUUUGACAUCCUGCAGAAUUGUAUAACAAAUCUGAUGCUGGACAUAAGACUAGACAUAUAAUAGCUCUAAGUCCUUUAUGUGGAAACAAUGUUUUAUUGUGACCAGUGCGAUUUAUUUCUGUAAUCUAGACUUUCAUGUACACAGGACAUACUCUGACAUUUCCUAAUCUAUACAGUGGUUGUUGCCUUAUGAAAGAGAACAGAAGCAUGUGUGUUGCAGAGGAUGUGACUCCAGUCCCUGGGUUUUAGUUGUUUUAUGAUUAGUAAUUAUUAUGUUAAAAAAUUAAAACUGCCUUGGGUGCCUUGGCAAAAAGGUGCUGUGUAAAUUCAAUAAAUAAAUAUAAUAUCCGUUAAGAAGAAUAAUUAUUAUAUAAUAACUGUAGUAGUAAAAUGUGACAUCCUUACUGUAAACAAUUAUAUAGGUAUAAGUACCAGAGAUCAGGGCCAAGUGAGAUGAGGCAGUUGCCUCCGGUAGCAGAUUUAAACCUGAGGAGUGUGCCUCGUUCCACCCCCCUCCACUGCAUCCCACCCCGAUUGCAGUGGCAGUAGGGCAGAGCAGGAGGAGGCUGUGGUGUGCUGCUUGGGCCUGGAUCUGCUGCCUGAAGCAACUGCCCCUCUCUGGCCUCCUUUUCACCUUUCUUUUCUUGGACUGUCUCCAUGUGGUAAGCAGGGUAGCGAGUGGAGGCGGCGGCAGUGAUUUGGGCAGGGCGGGAUGUGUGUGUGUGGCCUUAAGCGACAAGUGUAUUAUUUCGCCACCUGAUUUAGCUCAUUGUUCCUCUGAUGCUUCUGUAGUGUGUUUAACCUGUGUGGCUACAAGAGGAAAACCCACAAAUUCCUCUGCCAGGGGACUAUAGAAUUGCUCCCCAAACUUUGUUUAUGAUAGUAUGUAGCUUAUGAAUUGGUAGUGAAAUUUAAUGACUGCUGCAAUUUUAAAUUAAGUAUACAACAUAAAGUCAUGCUCAGAGUGAAAUUAAUGGAUUUAAGUUGCAGCAAAUUCUUCUUUUUUAAUUAAUUUUUAUUACUUUUCCAUACAUCACAAAACCACCAAAACCAAUACGACAAAAUAAAUACAGAUACAAAAUUAAGUACCACAUUUUUCUUGUCUAUUUUUACAUUCUUCUUUCUCCCCCCCAAAAAAAGAAAAGAAAAAGAAAAAGAAAUAUACCAUUGUGACUUCCUGUCAUUACCCAUUGCAUAUACUUUCUCUUUCAGUUGAAUGUACUCAAAAUAUUUGCCUUUCCUAUAACCAUUUAUCUAAUACAUUCUGUAACACUAUCUCUCCUUCCUUUAAUAAUUCAGCUUCGUAUUCUUCCUUGAUCACUCGAAUGCUAGCAUGGAAACAGUAGGAUAUGUUUCCACUCGAAUGCUAUCACUCGAAUGCUAGCAUGGAAACAGUAGCAAAUUCAUAGGAUAUCAUCCAAUGUAACUAAAACAGUAGGUGAUAUCCAACUAAGUCACACUCAAAAUAGACCCAUUGGUUUCAGCUGUCUACUGUACGUAUGACUAACACAGAAUACUAGUGUACAUAGUCUUUAUUUUCUAUGGACUCUGAUGUAGUAAAUAUUUUUUAAUCAAUUCUUAUUAGAUUUUCACUUACAAAUCAAUCAUAUCAAACCAAUUAUUCCAAAUUAUACAAAUAUAUAUCUAUUAAACCAAAUAUUAUGCCAGAUUAUAAACAUUUUACUUCCCCAUGCUUCAAAUUCUGAGGGUUCUGAGUAUCGAUAAUGGCUGCCAUUCUAAUCAAAGUUCCAAGUUCUUUCCAAACCUUUUAAUCCAACAUAGUCCAGAUCUUUCCAACAGCCUCUGAAAUGUUUUCAGGUGAGAUUUACCACAAAGCCUAUGUUUUCUGUCCAGCUUCCCCAUAAAUCCUUGCAUUCUCCUUCCAUACUGGAAUAUCUUCCAAGCUGCGCCGUUUGUCACGGACCUAUGCCCAUUUAAAGAUUCAAUAAGUCAUGUCCAGGCUUCUGCUUGUUAAUUCCUCCGGUCGCGGAUUUGCAGUCUUUCCAGGCAGGUUCAGCCAAAUCCAGAUAUUAACACACAUCUUAUAACAAACCUAUGGCUCCCCCGCCCUUUGACUGCUUUUCACUCCCCAGCCUCCAUUUUUAGCGAGCUCAAUUAAAAGUGCGUCACAAGUCAAAAAUCUUCUUAAAAUCAUCCACAAAGAAUUUUAACAAGCUCCAGCCGUUGAUAUAACCACCCUAGGGAAGCUUUCAUCUUAUAGGUUUAUCUAAACAAAUUCAAAUAAAUCCUCUAUUGUAUAUAUUUCAAUGUCUACACAGUUUAUAUUUUUAUAACUUCUCGCUUGUUCUAGGUACUUUAGACAAUCCAUCCAGGGAAGGUGUUAAGUGUAAUCUUGAAACAUAAAAAUGUUUCUGUUCGGUCCAACGUAGUAUUUUCUUUAAUACAAUAUUUCCUCGACUCUUUUAUCAUUCAAAGGCUGGAUUUUCUGGCAGUGUCCUCCUCCUCUUCAUUUGAAGCAUGUCCAUGAAUUUAAAUCCAAUUAUUCCUCUUAAAUCAUGGACUCGUGCACGAACAGGGUGGUCUCCAGGAGUUCCGACCCCCACGGGUGCUUGGCCCAGGCCCCCACCCCCACCCCCCGAAGGUCCAGAGUGGGUUAAGGGGCAUCCGCGGGCCAGCGGCCCCUCCCAUCAUCCUGGGAGGGUGGGGAGACUGCCUACUCCCCAAAGCAGCCGCCAAAUUUUCCCAUGGGAGUUGGGAGAGAUGUUACGGGUCAGCCAUUUCUCCCGAUGAGCACGAGUGGAAGCUGUAGUAAAUAUAUUUUGAUAUAGUACAGACUGAAGAAUUAAAAUGUCAAGACAUUUCUAAUUCCUAGGUGACUAGUUUAUAAAUAAAAUAAAUUAUAAUUCUGAACAAUACUUUUUUAGGUGUUAUGUGGUCUGUCGCUAAAUCACGUAGUGUCUUCUGCUUAAUAGGAGGAAUUUUAUUUAUUUUGUUUAUUUAGUACAAGUCAACAGACUUGUUCUUGGUAUAAUCUGAUAGUAGCUUCUUAAA